rnacentral:lncRNA from 1 species
UUUGCUUGAUGUAUUAAUUAAAUUUAAUUAUCAUGAUCACUAUGAGCAAAUUUUAGUACAGAUUUACAAAUCAAUCAAGAAAUUAGGAUGGCAUACCUAGGCUCUAACAAACUAUACUCAAUGUCUCCUGUUUUGCUAUAUUCACUAAGUGUAAAGGUACAUUUUGUUGGCACCCUAGAAAAAUUACUUGAUCAGCUGAUAUUUGCUUAUAAAGACGAGUUGCACAGCUAAAAAAACAAGGAACUGAAAUAAGUUGUCUGAAUAAAAAUCAACUGAUAAAAAUUGAAUUCUUUUAAUUCAUAAAUCAAUUGACAGAAAAGUAUGUGUUUUUAACUAGUGUGAAACCGAGCAUACAAAAAUUGGUUAAUCUAGUUCAUAUUUAAUUUGAUAAAGAUAAGAGAAUAUUUUUCACCAUUUUCUUACCUUCAAAUGGCUCACAGGUGUUAAAAGCUUAUCAAAGAAAAUGUCCCUUAAAAGUAGGAAGCAGUUUCCACUUUCUUUAAAAUGCACAUCAGUUUCCUUGUGGAAGGCAAACUUUGACACAAUUCCUUUCUUAUUGUAUUUUUCCACUCACCUACAGCAUGUGCUUAUUGAAGUAGCUUGGGAACCCAUUUACUAAAUCAAAUUCCCUUCUUGAAACCAAAUUGCUUGAAUAGUUUGGGAUCAUGUUGAAAUAGAAGUCGUUGCACCAUUCCACUUAGUCUUUUUUUAUGCAAAACGUUCACAUGAAACUCUGAAAACUCAAACUAGCUGUACAUGUGAAACAAUUAUGCAUGUUUAAUGAGUGACUCUAAAGAACAGAUCCUUGAUUCGAGCAUUGUUGUCAUUUGUCAAUAAUUAUUUUGGCCUCACUGCUACUAAUUUUCUGUACAAUUGCAACAAACCAACUUUCCGUAAUGCAACUAUUAUUAAAAUGUAAACCAUUCACAGAUUAUCAUAUAAGAUCCAAAACUAUCAAUAGGAGAAGAAAAACAUUCCAAUUAUUUCCAGAAUAUCAUCUAGGGCAUAGACAACACUGGAACAAGCGGCUAAAACUACAAUACCAACAAGGAACAAAUAGUCAAAUUAUAACAAGUUGAAACACAAUUGACAUUUUUCUCAAAAGUGAACAAGGACAUUAAAGAAAAUAGAGAUUAAAGUUUUAUAAAGACUCAAACGAAAUCAAAAGACACUGUCUAUUGUGUUUUCGUUUUUUCUAUUUUACCUAGUAAUAUUUGUUUGUCCCUUGUGCUCUUCUAUUUUUUCCUUUUUUUCUAACUUCUUCGUUUCUCUUUAUACCAGAGUCUCUGAUGGACCUUGCUACGGCUAAACUAAAACUAGAGUUGUAAAAAAAAAACUCCUCUGCUCUCAUUCAUAAUGGUAAGACCCUAUAUAAGGGUUUUAGGGCCAUGGGCCAUACAAUUCUUUAAAAUAAAGUAACAGAUGAAACUGGAAAAACAUACUAAAAUAAAAAGGCAGAGUAGUAAAAACAUGGGCUCAACCCAAUAUAAAGUCUUUCAUCCAAUGAGAUUGUUUCUUGGGCCUUGUGCUUGUUUUUCUCAUUCUAACAUUACUGUUUGUUUCAGGAAGCACUUUGUUCAAAGUGCAGUCUUGAGGUCCGUUGGGCCAAUGGGGGUGUUGGUCUGGAUGUCUUUCGUGUUGAGCGGGGGGUGUGAGAUAGGGGAUUUAGAGGGGGGUGCAAACUGAUAUUGGGCCUUAGAGGGAGGCGUUGUGGGCGCGCUAGGGUUUGCUGCAGGCGCCGAUGGUGCGUGAAUUAAGUUGGACUGGGCGUGACUCAAUUGGGCUUGGGUACCGGGUUGAUGCGUAGGCGUCGCAGAUGCGCUAGGAUUUGUGGAUGGAUGUUGGGGCUGCUGAACGGUCAUUUACACGUGGUGUGCUGCUGCUGGUUGAGCCAUGAGGCGUGUGCAGAUGAUUAUUGCUUGUGGAAGUAAAAGGUAGAGUGGUCACGUGCGUGAUGGGCUCGAGGUCCUGAGGCUCCACAACAUUCGUAAGUGGGACACGUGUCUCUUCGUUAGUGGAUUCUUUAGGCGGUGCGUUCAUGAGGUUCUGACUGGAAUUUGAAUGUGAGUUAAGUGUAGUUUGGCAGUAAUUUGUGGGAUUGGUAGGAACUGAAAGAGCUUCUUCAGGGUUUCCUUUGAAAAGUCUUAGCAGUGACACGUGAGAAACAGGGUGGACGCGGGCGGUCGCUGGCAGUUGCAACUCGUACGCGACUGCUCCGAUGCGGCGUAGUACCUUGUAUGGACAUGAAAAACGCAGACCCAACCUCUGGUGUGUGCGUCGUUCCAGUGUUCAUUGGCAGUAGGGUUGGAGGCGAACCCACACCCAAUUGCCUGGUUCAAAACUUCGAUCUGUGCGGUGUUGGUUCGCUUGGUCACACAUUCGUUGCCUUGUACGACACAAGUGUUCUCUUAGCUCCUGGAGGACGACGACGUGAUCUGCCAAAGAACCCGGGAUGGUUACACCGUCUUGUGGGGUGUGCACGAAAUCUACUGCGGUGGGUGGUUGUCGGCCAUAGAGAGCAUGGAAAGGUGAGGUGCCUAUAGCCGAAUGGUAAGUGGUGUUGUGCCACAGCUCUGCUAAGUGAAUGAAUUGAUACCAUUUGUGCGGUUGAUUUCCCACAAAACACCUGAGGUAUGCUUCUAACCCCUUGUUCAAUACUUCCGUUUGGCCGUCAGUUUGUGGGUGGUAUGACAAACUGAAUUUUAACGUGGUUCCUUGUGCCUUGAACAGGUGUUGCCAGAAGGUACUGACAAACUAAGGGUCACGGUCAGAUACGAUGGUUUUGGGUAGACCAUGGAGUCGACAUAUUUCCACUUAAAAGCGUUUGGCUAGCUGUUGGGCGGUGAAGUAUGUGGUCAGAGCUAGGAAGUGGGCAUAUUUCGUCAAUCUGUCGCAGAUUACCCAAAUGACAGAAUGGCCAGUGGACAUUGGAAGGUGAGUAAUAAAAUCAAUAGAUAUAUCUUCCCAAACUUGUUCUGGAAUUGGUAAUGGUUGAAGAAGACCUUGAAUUUUUGUUGGCAUGUAUUUGUUUUUCUGGCACACUGAGCCAUUGUUGGACGAAGCUAUGGAUGUCCCUGGACCAUUUCGGCCAGUAGAAGGAGGCGGCUAUACGCUUGAGGGUCGGUUUAAUACUGGAAUGGCCGCCAUAAGGGGAAGCUUGAAACUCAGACAUGAUGCGCUUGUGAAAUUCCUUUAAUGCUAGCACAAAAAUUUGGUGGCGGAAGAAGAGUAACCCGUGGCCGGUAGAGAAAAGGCUAGGGUGUUGUUUAUUUUUUGUGCACGCGUGGAUCACCUCUUUUACUUCUGCAGUGGCAUAAAAGAUUUGGAGUUAUUGGAUCAACUGAGGUAUUGGAGACGAAACUGCCAACAAAAUGUGCGUAGGCUCCUAAUCCAUUCUUGAAAGAGCGUCAGCCACCGCAUUGUCCUUUCCAGGUCGGUAAACUAUUUGGAAAUCAUAUUCCUGUAAUUUAGCUGUCCAUUUUUGUUGUUAUGGGGUUUGUAUGGUUUGGGCUAGAAGGGUGUUGAGGCUUUUCUGAUCUGUGAUUAUUGUGAAAUGUUGUCCCAUGAGAUACUGACGCCAUUUUUUUACUGACUCUGUGAUGGCAUACAUCUCUCGGACAUAUACGGAGGAAGCCUGUAACUUGGGGUUCAUCUUUUUGCUGAAGAAGGCGAGUGGAUGGCCAGUUUGACUCAGGACAACUCCUACGGCUACUACGGAUGCAUCCCUUUCUACCACAAAGGGAAGCUUGAAGUUGGGAAGGUGUAGGGUAGGUAUUUGUGUCACCUGUAGCUUCAAUUCUUCAAAAGCUUGUUGCGCAGGUUCCGUCCAUGUAAAUUUGUGGUUUUGUAAUAAGUCGGUGAGAGGAGCGGUAAAUGUGGUGUAAUGCUUUAUAAAUGUUCUGUAAAAUCUGGUGAGGCCGAGGAAACCCCUUAAUGCCGUGAGAGAUCUUGGCUGAGGCCAAUUGUGUAUGACGUUGAUCUUUUGUGGGUCUGGUUGGACCCCUUGAGCUGAAAUUAUGUGGUCAAGGUAACAACGGUAUAUGGUGGUCGUGUGACCUUUGUGGGGGUAGCCCGUGAGGUUUGUGAAAGAUACUGUGAUAUUUCUGAAGUAGGGAUUGAAUAGGUGAGGGUAGAUUGUCUAACGGUGAGGAGGGAUGAGCAAUGGCUGUGUCAGUGGGUGAGCUGGGCUGGUUUUCCACCGAUAAAAGGUGAAGGGAUGCAAUAAAGUUAUUAGAUAGAUAGUGGCAAAAUUGGUGGUAAGUGGUAACUGAUGGGGUGGGUGAGGUGGUGGCUUGGAGGGUAAUUUGUUGAUUGUUGUGUGUGAAGGCUAUGCUGGGAAUUGAGAAAUCCUUUUGGAUGGAACCCAGUGUACUUAACCAAUUUACGCCAAGGACAACAUCCACACCUUCAAUGGGAAGAAGGUAAAAAGGGAUAGUAAAGGUGGAGUGUUGGAGUGAGAUAUCUACUGAUGGGCAAAGUCCUUGGCACUGGAUGAAAGCCUCAUUACCCACCAUAACAGAUAGUGGUGGGCUAGGAGAUAUGGCUAAGUGUAAAUGGUGGGCGAUAUAUGGUUGAAGGAUGUUGUGUGAACUGCCUGAAUCAAUAAGAACGGUGACUGGGAGGUUGUGGAUUAAACCUGUGAAUUUGACGGUUUUUGGGGGUAAUGGUGCCUGAAAUGGCUUGUGGGUGUUGGGUUUAAUAGUGUCAAAGUUCAAGUUUAUAUCAGCCAAGUUAAUCUCAAAAUUAUGCAGAUUAAUUUGCAAGUCACACACACCCUGAUAUUUGAAAGAAAACUAGUGAAUCAUAAAACAACAACCUUCAAUUUUAAGCAAGUGAUUAAGGUUCAAUUGAUAGCUUGACAAUUAAUUAAGUAACCUAUCACAAUAAAUAUGUUUCAGUGGCUUUUAACAGAUUAUAUAUGUUCUUUUCAGAAUCAAGCAGUUUUUCCAGAAAUUAAGAACAAUAUGAAACAAGCCCAGAAAGAACAGAUUUAUUAUUAAUUGAACAGAUUUAUUUCUUGACAGUUUAACAAAUAUGCAAUAAUUCAAGUGCAGAGAUUAAGGGAGAAUGAACACAAGGCAAUUAUACUGGUUCACUCCAAUGAGCUACAUCCAGUCUUCACCUAAUCCAAGGUGAAAUUCACUAAAUCACAAUUUGAACAAACACAAACACCACUGUUCUUGAACCCUACAAGAACCUUGGUACACUUGCUGAAAAACACUAUUUCAGCACACACACCCUUCAAGAAAUCCUAUCAAGAAGAGUUUACAACCACACUUUUACAAGAAAUGAAAUGUGAAACGAAUACACCUGAUAGAGGAUGCAGAAAUCUGUCUUAAACUAGUAGAACAGAUUGUUUGAACAGUAGCAGCACCUCUCACCAAGCUUUGGAACCAAACAAGAACCAUCACACUUUUGAUUUUCGAAAUCUUUCACAAACAAAUGCUAAUUCUUUGUAAAUCCUUAAUUCUCUAAUGCAAAACUUGUUUUCUCAAUUGUAUGAUCGAUGUUAAAACUCAGAAACAAGUUUUCUUUUUAUAGAAAACCAACUUAUAACAGAUUUUUGAAAAACAGUUAAAGUUGUUAUAAAAAGAACAGAUUGAAAAUAAAAUGAACAGAUUUAUUUUCAAAAAGCAGUUAGAGAAUUUGUUAUGUGAAGGAGACUUAGUCAACCAUUCUGGUGCAGGGACAAAACUAAAACCGUUUAAGAUAGACAUGGUACCAGAGUCAAAAAGAAUCUAUUCAUUUACAGAUGAACAAAUUUAUUUUUCAAAACGAUAACAGAAAAAGCUUAACUAUUAAAACUCAAUCGUUUUGAAAGAUAGAAGACUUAGUCAAAAUGUUUGAUGCACAAAAUCUAAUUUUCACAAGACUUAGCCAAAGCAUCAGUUUAAAAAAGAAUCUGUUUAUUUAGAAAAGAACAUAUUUAUUUUUAUGUAGUAAACGUGUUUUUUGUAAAACAUGUGAAAAACAAUUUAAGAAAUUUUGUGCUUGCUCUUAUCACAAGGUCAGGGGUUAGGAGGUGAGUUACUCAGCAAAAAGCCUACUCUUAAACAACCUCUAAACACAACCUAAGACAUUGUUAAAGCAAAAGGAAAUAUACAUGAAUUGUACAUAAAUGUCUUCAUCUAACAUGUCUUGAAGAGGCAACAACCAUCUUCAACAGUGGGGAGAUGUGAAAAUGGAGGGGGGUAGUGUAUUCGGAGGAUGGAACGAAAUGCUCGGGGGUUUCAUUUAAUGUAUCAGGAUCAUCCAAGAGAAGUAAAAAACGAGAUGUAGUACACUUAUGGCCAGGAAAGAACUUUUCAUCACAAUUGUAACAUAAACCUAGGGCACACCGUUCUUGCAUUUGGGAAGAUGAGAAACGUUUUAUGGGUAUUUGAGCUAAUGUUGGGGUAAAGGUAGGUCUAGUGUUUGUGACCGAAGGAUUAGUGGUGGUGUGGUAUGGUGGUGGGGUAAAACGGUGUUGUUUAGGUUUGGAAUCUCUCAGUUUGUCUUCAAUAAGCUUGGCUAAUCCUAUGGCUUGGGCUAUAGAGUAAGGGUUUAAUAUAGUGAGCUCUCUACGAACGUCAAUACUCAAACCAGAAAUGAAGCAAUUAAGUAUAGUAUCGAGAGUGAGACCCACCACACAGUUGCAUAAACGUUCAAACCUGCCUUGGUAUUUUGUGACUAUGGAGGUUUGUUGGAGUUUGAAUAACUCAACUUGAUGAUUGAUAUAUGUUGAUGGGCCAAAACAGAGCUCCAAGGCCCUUGUGAAUGAGUGCCAAUCUGUGAGGAGGUUAUUGUUGUGCAGCCAUUUAAACCAGGAGAGAGCAUCUCCCUGCAUGUGGAAUCCCACCAUGGGCAAACGCUGGUCCAGGGAAAUUUGAUAGAAUGAAAAAUAUUGAUCUACCUGAAACAGCCAGUCCAAAGGGUUGGUUCAGUCAAAAAAGGGUAAGGUAAGUGUUGGAGGUUGUGGAUAAGGGUUUUGUUGCUGGUGGGAGUGAGAUUGCGAUGAACGAGGACUGGUUUGAUGAUGAGGCGGGGGAUUUGGAUUUUUAGGGUGCGAGAGGAGGGUGACCUGAUCCAGUAGUGAUGUGACAUGGGAGUGGAGGUUGUCAUUCUUUGCCUCUAGGGUAGACUGUUUGGUAGAAGUAUCUUCUAAUUGGGUUUGAAUGAGGGUGAGCUGAGCCUGGAUUGAGUGGAUGACCUCUUCCAUGUCCUUUGAUGAUAAUUUGGGAGCCAUAACAAUGAAAGCACCAAUGAUUGACCUUGUUACUGCUAAACUAAAACUAGGGUUGUCACAAAAAACUUCUCUGCUCUCAUUCAUAAUGGUAAGACCCUAUAUAAGGGUUUUAGGGCCAUGGGCCAUACAAUUCUUUAAAAUAAAGUAACAGAUGAAACUGGAACAACAUACUAAGAUAAAAAGGUAGAGUAGUAAAAACAUGGGUUCAACCCAAUAUAAAGUCUUUCAUCCAAUGGGUUGUUUCUUGGGCCUUGUGCUUGUUUUUCUCAUUAUAACAAUCUCAUUUUAUCUUGCUCUAAAUGUUCACAAAGUGAUCGCCACAUAGAAAGAAAGUAGUAUUCUGUACCAUCUAUAAAUGUCUCUGUGUAUCUAAAAGCCAAGCAACUGACGAAAUAUGCAGCUUCAAGUCUUUUCAACAAGAGUUCUCUUUGGUUCAAAUUAAAUUCAUACCCAAUAGUUUUUCUAAACAGAUUACAAUUUUUUAAUCUUACUUUAGUUACAAAGUUAUCUAGAAUUUAUCUAUAAUAAGUUUAACAUGCACAUUCUUUAGCUUUAACAUCCACUUAACGCUAUCAUAUUUAAAAAUAAAUCAAAUACACAACUAGAAAAUCAUUAAAUAAAUAUCAAUUUUAAAUACAAAAAAUAAUUAAUUGCUAUACUCACUAAAUUAGAUACUAAAAAAAUUAUUGAUAUCUAAAUUAGUUUUUAUUAUUGAUAAAUAUUUUCUAAAUUGAUAUCUAAUUUGCUAUCAAGGUUUUAAAUUAGAUACUACCAAUUAUUUAGAUUCUAAAUUUGGAAGUUAAAAUCUUGGUAGCUAAUUAGAAAUCAAUUUAGAAACUAUUUAUCAAUAAUAAAAACUAAUUUAGAUAUCAAUCAAUUUUUUAGUCUAUAAAAUAGUAUAUAAUUUAGUCAAUAUAACAACUAACUAUUUUUUUGUCUUAUAUUUAAUGAAUAUUAUACUAGAGAAUUUAACUGUUUCUUGUGGGUUCAAUAUCCAUCCUUAAGAAAAAAUUGUUACAGUACACUUGUCGUAAAAUAGUCAUCUCGCCAUAUUCAUCAUGGUCCUCUUUUUCUUUUUUGCGUUACCAUUAUGUUUUGGUGUAUAAGGAGGUUAAUGGAUACCUUAUCUUUCAUAGUAACUAUUGAAUUCAUCAUAAACAUAUUCAUCACUAUUAUCACUGGUUAUAAUUUUCAAUAAAUUGUCACUUUGUCUCUGAGCAGAGCAAUUGAACUUCACAUAUCAUAUACAUCACUUUCCUUCAAUGGUAUUGGGUUUGAUUCUUAGUUUGAUCAAUCAUCAUAAGCUAUGUUUGUCUCAUCCUUGGAUUUCCCUUUUCCUUCUUUUCAACUUUAGCAUUCAUGCAAAAUGUUUCAACUUAUUCAGUGAUAACAUUGGAUCUUCUUCUAGUUAAACUUUUUUCAGUUUUGAUUGACCCCAAUUUUUAUUGUUGGCCAGAUUACUUAGAUCUUGAGCAAUUCAAUCUUUUUUUUGGCAGAUUCAUUCAAUCUUUUUCCUUUCUAUUUUUAUUUCCUUUUCUUAUUGCAACUCCCUUUAUUUAUGAAAUUAUUUUAGACUUGUAAUGCUCACUUUUGUGCGUUCUCUCAUUGAUUCUUUGUUCAUGGACUUCAAGUGAAUUAUGUAAGUUUUCUUAAUUUAGGAUUACAAAUCUCAAUAAAAAAAAGUUAAUUUUUCUUAUGCUAAUUGGUGUGUAUGUCUAAAAUUUUUCCUAUCAUGUACAUAAAAAUAACACAUAUAUGUAGUGAUAGUGAAAUUUUAAGCCUAAAAUUUGAUAAUUAUAUGGCAAUGCAAGUCUUGAAGCCGAAUGAAUUCUACGACUAAAGGAGCAUUAAAAAAUAAAAAGUGUGUGCAAUAAUGAAUUACAAACCUAUUUUACCUGCAAGAAUAUCUAACACUAAAGGUAAAGUACCAUCUUUUUACUUGCCUGGUUACUGUCAGUGUGCAGGAAAACAAGUUUGGUAUGCUAACUUGGAGUUUCUAUGCAAUCUUUCAUCAACAAAUCUUUCCUUCUAUUUUCUAAUUUUUGGAUCCUCAAAAGGCGGUGUGGGAAGACAUGUUCUUUUUUAGAUUUCUUUGCAGAUAACUUGGAAUUAUA